CAGUGUUGCGCUGAGGGGAUCCAUCAAUGAGGAAUACAGAGGAGAGGAGCGCCCGCGUCCAUCAGUGCGCCGCCGGCCGACGGGACGAAUCCCCUGGCCACGCUGCCAUCUCCCUCUGCCGCCGCCAGCAGUACGUGCUCCUGCUUCCCUCUGCCGCCCCGUCCCUUCUCGACGCCCCCCUCACUCACACUUCGCCUUCCGCCAUAGCCCUUCCCAUCAUGGCCCCGACCCCCCUGUGCCUCCAUGUCGCCAGCCACAUCUAGCCGUUUGGAACUCUUCCGAUCUGAACCUGGUCGUCCUUGCCCACCCAUUGCUCCAAUCCAAGUGCCCCGCCUGUUGGUUGGCUUUUGCCUCUUCGACGAUCAGACCCGGGCAGCAAAGAGGCCGUAAAUCACCUCCUCCUCAUGCCCGUAUGAUCACCCAAGCACUCGUGGUGGCCGUCUCCUUGUUCUUCCUCUUCACCAGAAGAUACAGCCAGAUUUUGUUGCUCUUUUGAAGAGUCGAUCAAGCCACUUCUCGCUGCACACUCCAAUGUAAUUUUGUCCUGGUAUGAACUAUGUACAAAACACAUAUCAUGACCACUCAUUUUUUUGCAGGUGUUAUUAUUGACAUUUGCAUGAUUUGAUUAUUGUCAGUAGCAGUCCAUCUGUAGCUGGUAAAGUGGGUCAAACUUAUUAUAUCUGUGACUUACCACGUGUUUGUUGAAUCAAUGUUGAAAACAACAAAGGGAAUAAUUAUCCUGUGUCUAAUUUAAAUGCAGUCCUACCUAAACUUGUGGCUGGCUCUCUUUUUAGUCUUGCUUACCAUCUGGAUUAGCCCUGAUCCAUCUUCAUCACCAUGUUUACAUAUACAAAUGUUAUUGGAAUAGUAUCUGGAAUUUCAGAUAUACUGAAGGCAUGAUUACCUGCUAGAGCACAAGAAUCAGAUGAAAGGAACUUGCUGUUCACAGAUAUUGAGUAAGCUAUUUCAUAUAGAUCAUGAUACAUUAAACUUAUCUGUUGAUUUUAUGAUAUUUAAUCCAUGAUGCUAUGUUUAGUGGAAACACUAUGGAAGUUGCACUGUGGAGAGAACAUGCAACUUCCUUCCAGGCUGAUAAUCUAUACAACCUUGGUCGGACGCAACUAAUUCCAGUUCUUUUGAUUGAAAAUUUUAUGAAAAGUUACCUAGGUAUGGUUGAUGUUUCAAAGUAUUUAUUUACACCUUUUCAAUUAAGAAAGAAGCCACAUGGUUAUAAAAAAUGUAGGCUGUUCACAAUAAGCUGCAGCGAUGCUGCUAAGAUUUAUAUCAAUCCAGAUAUACCUGAGAAGAUAAAUUAUUGUGCUAGGUAAAAAAAGUAACUAACAUUACAAAUUGUAACACAUAUCAGUAACUGUUGUAAUAUACUUACCUUUAUGUUCAUUAUGCUGAAUGCAGACUAGGUAAACAAAUGCGUACCAUGUCUGACAUUUAUGGCAGCACGUGAUGAUCGGUACAAUCCAUCAAUUAGUAAUGAAAGGGCUGGCACCGUCAAGGUCGAUUUCCUGGUUACCAUGAAUCCUAAUGAAUUCCAGAUACAUCGUACCUCUAAAUAAUGUUAUUCUGAAGGCCGAUUUCCUGGUUACCAUGAAUCCUAAUGAAUUCCAGAUACAUCGUACCUCUAAACAUUUUCUUGGGAAUAAUAUGAUGAGCACGGUCACAAUAAUGAGACUGGCCUCAGAACAUUGGUGAUUCCUCUCUUGCCAAAUAUGCCAUAGGAAGGCAUUUCAAGUUGGAAGUGCAUUUGUUUGCAGCAAUAACGUAGUUACAGCAGCAGUGAAUGUAAACGACUUUAUUCAUCAGUUAUGUGUGGUGCAAAAUGAUAACUGAAUACUUAGAAAUGCCUGAAUAUUAAACACCCAUUAAACACGAUAUAAUGGUCAUUA